UGCACCAACCGGGUGUCGAACCAGGGUCUACAGCUUUAGAGACUGCAAUGAUACCGCAACAAUACUGGUUU